GACGUAGGGUCCGAGCGUUGUCCGGAGUUACUGGGCGUAAAGGGCGCGUAGGCGGUUUCUUACGUUCCACGUGAAAGCCCCUGGCUCAACCAGGGAGGGUCGUGGGAAACGGGGAAACUGGAGGCAGCGAGAAGCUGGUGGAAUUCCCGGAGUAGUGGUGAAAUGCGUAGAGAUCGGGAGGAACACCGGUGGCGAAGGCG
rnacentral:rRNA from 1 species